rnacentral:misc_RNA from 1 species
AUCCCUUUAAGUAAACAGCCCCGAUUCUCCCAAUCAAUCCCCAAAAAGACAAUCACGAUGAUCUUCUUCCGGAGCUUUAGUCUCUCUGCCAAUCCUAUGAGACUCUACAAUCGAAAUACUCCAUUAUGUAGGAAAAUUUCCUUUUGUCCGGCAGCAGAGAGACGAGGCACCACAACGCCAAGCAGUUAUCUUAGCGAGGAAGGGACUCUCUUCGAGAACAACUUUGUGCAUUUGAGAUCUCGUUUUAGGAAAGGAAAGAUGAAUUUGCAAAAACUUUCAAUCAGGAAUCGACGAGAAAAGAAGAACUUGAAACAGAAAUGGAAGUUGUCAGGGAGAGAAUUGAAAUGUUGGAAUUUGAGAUAAAGGAGGCGGAAGG